GUUCCUGGAUUCUUCAGUGAUGAUGAGCAGAGUCUGAGUGAACCUGCUGUCAGACAGGUAGGGUCUAUUAGCCGAUGGCUGAUAGACAUCACGAUGCUGCGCCGGAAACAGCGUCAUCAGCUCCAGUAUCUCGCCCGUGCAUCUGUUGUCAUGCGACAGAGAAGUCACGUUCUAUAGACAGUUUCUAUAGACAGUUGUGAACGUGCUGACAGCUGGUUGCCCAGGCUAUGGAUUAAAGGUAAUACUGUUGGCCAGCAGAGCCCUGCUCACCCUGACGGCCCACCGCUGCUGUCAGACAACAUCUCCAAGAUGCUAUAAACUGCAGGACCAGAUGGCCAUCCCAAGGUUUCUAGAGAUUACACCAGCUCCAGACUGAAUCCAAACUUACUUGUGAAGACUUCAGAUGACACCAACGCUCACAAAGACUACAGACGACAACUGUACAUGAACACACAAAACAUUGGACACACAAAACAAAUAUUAU